rnacentral:rRNA from 1 species
UACGAAGGGGGCUAGCGUUGCUCGGAAUCACUGGGCGUAAAGCGCACGUAGGCGGCUUGUUAAGUCAGGGGUGAAAUCCUGGAGCUCAACUCCAGAACUGCCUUUGAUACUGGCGAUCUUGAGUCCGGGAGAGGUGAGUGGAACUGCGAGUGUAGAGGUGAAAUUCGUAGAUAUUCGCAAGAACACCAGUGGCGAAGGCGGCUCACUGGCCCGGUACUGACGCUGAGACGCGAAAGCGUGGGGAGCAAACAGG